rnacentral:ncRNA from 1 species
UGGGGGGAGUAAGCUCCAUGGUCGAGAGGGAAACAGCCCAGAGCAUCGACUAAGGCCCCUAAGCGUACGCUAAGUGGGAAAGGAUGUGGAGUCGCACAGACAACCAGGAGGUUGGCUUAGAAGCAGCCACCCUUGAAAGAGUGCGUAAUAGCUCACUAGUCUAGUGAUUCCGCGCCGACAAUGUAGCGGGGCUCAAGCGUACCGCCGAAGUCGUGUCAUUGC